GUGGGGAAUAUUGGGCAAUGGGGGAAACCCUGACCCAGCAACGCCGCGUGAAGGAAGAAGGUUUUCGGAUCGUAAACUUCUAUCCUUGGUGAAGAUAAUGACGGUAGCCAAGAAGGAAGCCCCGGCUAACUACGUGCCAGCAGCCGCGGUAAUACGUAGGGGGCAAGCGUUGUCCGGAAUGAUUGGGCGUAAAGGGCGCGUAGGCGGCCUGGUAAGUCGGGAGUGAAAGUCCUGCUUUUAAGGUGGGAAUUGCUUUGGAUACUGUCGGGCUUGAGUGCAGGAGAGGUAAGCGGAAUGCCCGGUGUAGCGGUGAAAUGCGUAGAGAUCGGGAGGAACACCAGUGGCGAAGGCGGCUUACUGGACUGUAACUGACGCUGAGGCGCGAAAGUGUGGGGAGCAAACAGGAUUAGAUACCCGGGUAGUCC
rnacentral:rRNA from 1 species